rnacentral:rRNA from 1 species
AGCGAACGUUUGCGGCGGGCCUAACACAUGCAAGUCGAACGCACUAGCAAUAGUGAGUGGCGCACGGGUGCGUAACACGUGGGUAAUCAACCCUUCAGCCUGGGAUAACGACUCGAAAGGGUCGCUAAUACCGGAUACGGCGCGAGAGGCUUCGGCUUCUCACGAGAAAGCCACGCAAGGGGCACUGAAGGACGAGCCUGCGGCCCAUCAGCUAGUUGGUGAGGUAAGAGCUCACCAAGGCUAAGACGGGUAGCUGGUCUGAGAGGAUGAUCAGCCACACUGGAACUGAGACACGGUCCAGACUCCUACGGGAGGCAGCAGUGGGGAAUAUUGCGCAAUGGGCGAAAGCCUGACGCAGCCACGCCGCGUGAGCGAUGAAGGCCUUGGUCGUAAGACGUCUGUGGGAGGAGACGAAGAAAGACCUGUGAAGAGCAGGCCUUGACGGUAGUCUCCUUAGUC